GUGUCAGCCGCCGCGGUAAUACGUAGGUGGCAAGCGUUGUCCGGAUUUAUUGGGUUUAAAGGGUGCGUAGGCGGCUUUAUAAGUCAGUGCUGAAAUAUCCCGGCUUAACCGGGAGGGUGGCAUUGAUACUGCAGAGCUUGAGUGAAGUCGAGGUAGGCGGAAUUGACGGUGUAGCGGUGAAAUGCUUAGAUAUCGUCAAGAACACCGAUAGUGAAGACAGCUUACUAGACUUCAACUGACGCUGAGGCACGAAAGUGUGGGGAUCAAACAGGAUUAGAAACCCGCGUAGUCC
rnacentral:rRNA from 1 species